ensembl:lncRNA
CGGAGCUCGGUCGGUCCCACGUUCCACACAAGCUGAAUUUCCGCCCGCAUCCCAAUGGGGCGGGGGGGAUUGCGGGCUCCGGGAGGCGCUCGGGCUCCGAGCAGAGACUCAGCCCGCCGCUCCAACCCCGCGCUGCACCGCUGCCUGCGGGCCAGGAUCCCGCGAGUGUGGGCUGCAGCGAGAGCGAGGCGGCGUGGCUUCCCGACUCGGUACCGCGCGGCUGCUCACCUCCGCGGCCUCGCCUCCUGCGGCUUCCAGGUUGCACCGAGCGCUCCUCUUCGCGCCGCUCCCAUGGUCUCUGUUUUCCCCCUUCUCUCUCUAGACUCAACGUCACAACUACCCGGACCUCUGCAGUCCUGAAAGUGCAGCAGGCACGGACAGAGUCGCAUCGACUCGGGCUUCAUGCCUUUCGCCGGCUCUCCUUCCUUCUCCUGGGCAUCGAAGCCAGAUCUUUUCCUGGAGUUUCAUGGCCCUCAGCCUUGCCUGGGACCAUCUUCAUAACUGUCUUCUCCAAAAUCAAGGGGCCUUCUCUGUAUGGCCGUGGCUUGUGUCUGUCAAAUUACAGAUGUCAGCAAGCAGAUGUUGGAGGGGACCAGGAAUCCUGAAGAGGAAAGGAAGACCCUAGAGAGUGAGUGGGCACAACACAUGGUGGACUGGAUCCUGGAAGCUAGAGGUCAGGGUAGCAUACUUCAUAGAUGAGGCUCCUGGGACACAGGCAAGACAGAAAAUGAAUGUCGGAACAGAGUUCUUCCUUCCCUGAAUAAAGCCUUGGUGAUGAACGAGUUGGCCUGAGUAGGUGUGAUGAAGUAAGUCCUUGGUGUGACUGAACCUUGCCUGGGAGCUUCUACAAGGUUGCAAGGCGAGGGAAGCCUUCCUGCUGCUCCUGAGGGAAGGAUACAGAAUGCCUUCUGUGCUCCCCACACCCAACAAGAGUCAGUCCCUAGGACCCAAACGUAUCUUACCUACUGGAACUGCCUGUGCUUUGUAUCUGCUGGAUCUUCUGUAUCCAGGACUGGAAAAGAUGUCUACAGCAUGGACCUGGAAUGGAAGGAGCCCUCCUUCCAGUGACUUCUCUUGGGACCACCUGGACUUUGCCAUUGCAAGGGGUCUGUGGGUGAUGUUUGCCCAUCUCAUUACCCUUCCCCACCAGGAAGUUUCUCCUCUGCUGAACAGUGUGGCCAGGAACUGUCUGAGGAUGCAAGAGGAAGUUAGAUGGGGUUUCGGGGUGGGUCUCCUGACUUUGAAUUCUAAUGAAGCAAAGGUUAGAGAGUUAAAGGCUUGGGCCUUGAGGCCGCAGCUGAAGAAGACCCUGAAAGUCAAAAAAAGUCAUGUGUGCAUCUGAAUAUAUGAAUAGGUGUGUGUGUGUGUGUGUGUGUGUGUGUGUGUGUGUGUGUGUGUGUAAGAGAGAUGGGGGGAUAUGGGGGAGGAGAGAGCUGUGCAGGCGAUCAAGAGUCAAAGUGAAAGGAAAUAGGCAUGGAUGGACCAUGCCAGAUGACAACAAUGGUCAUAGCUAGAAUUUAUGUAACACUGGAUGCCAAGCCUGUUCUAAAUUAUUUUUUAAUUUGUUUUUGUUUUUUAUGUAUGAGUGUCUUGCUUGCAUGUAUGUAUGUGUAUCAUGUGUGUGCCUGGUGCCCAUAGACGUCAGAGGAAGACAUUGGAUCCCUGGAGUCACAGAUAGUUGUGAGCAACCAUGUGGGUGCCAGGAAUCGACCCCAGGUCCUCUGCAAGAGCAGCAAAUGUUUUUAGCUGCUGACCCAUCUCUCCAGCCCCAUGUCCCAAAUUUGUUGUAUGUAUUAACUAUUUUAACCCUUGUAACCAACUUCAGAUAUUAUUAGCCCAUUUUGCAUUGGCUGAAACCUAGGCCCAGGGAACAAAUAACUGGAAGUAAAAUUUG